AAGGAUUCCCCUAGUAACGGCGAGCGAAGCGGGAAGAGCUCAAAUUUGAAAGCUGGCGUCUUCGGCGUCCGCGUUGUAAUCUCGAGACGUGUUUUCCGUGCGGCUCUAUGGACAAGUCCCUUGGAACAGGGCAUCGUAGAGGGUGAAAAUCCCGUACUUGCCAUGGAAGUACCGUGCUUUGUGAUACACGCUCCAAGAGUCGAGUAGUUUGGGAUUGCUGCUCAAAGUGGGUGGUAGACUCCAUCUAAAGCUAAAUAUCGGGGAGAGACCGAUAGCGAACAAGUACCGUGAGGGAAAGAUGAAAAGCACUUUGGAAAGAGAGUUAAAAGUACGUGAAAUUGUCGAAAGGGAAGCACUUGAAGUCAGCCAUGCUGCUUGAGACUCAGCCUGGCUUUUGCUUGGUGUAUUUCUCGGUAGCAAGCCAGCAUUGGUUUGUGUCGUCGGAGAAGCGCAUGGGGAAUGUGGCAUCCUCGGAUGUGUUAUAGCCCUGUGCAGGAUACGACGACGUAGACCAAGGAACGCAGUGUGCCCUCUGG
rnacentral:rRNA from 1 species